rnacentral:rRNA from 1 species
GAUGAACGCUAGCUACAGGCUUAACACAUGCAAGUCGAGGGGCAGCAUGGUCUUAGCUUGCUAAGGCCGAUGGCGACCGGCGCACGGGUGAGUAACACGUAUCCAACCUGCCGUCUACUCUUGGACAGCCUUCUGAAAGGAAGAUUAAUACAAGAUGGCAUCAUGAGUCCGCAUGUUCACAUGAUUAAAGGUAUUCCGGUAGACGAUGGGGAUGCGUUCCAUUAGAUAGUAGGCGGGGUAACGGCCCACCUAGUCUUCGAUGGAUAGGGGUUCUGAGAGGAAGGUCCCCCACAUUGGAACUGAGACACGGUCCAAACUCCUACGGGAGGCAGCAGUGAGGAAUAUUGGUCAAUGGGCGCAGGCCUGAACCAGCCAAGUAGCGUGAAGGAUGACUGCCCUAUGGGUUGUAAACUUCUUUUAUAAAGGAAUAAAGUGGGGUAUGUAUACCCGUUUGCAUGUACUUUAUGAAUAAGGAUCGGCUAACUCCGUG